rnacentral:misc_RNA from 1 species
AAAGUCGUAACAAGGUUUCCGUAGGUGAACCUGCGGAAGGAUCAUUACCGAGAUGUGUUUUACACGCUCCACCCUAUGUUUAUGACCUGUUGCCUCGGUGGGACUCGGAUCGUCGAGCAAGACGGGAUGAUGCGUCUUCCUCUCAUAUUUUUAGGAGAGGAAGGGGUUUGCCUGCCGAGCCUUUAACUCUUUUUGAAUUGCAGUCUGAGAAAGAAAAACAAAUCAAUCAAAACUUUCAACAACGGAUCUCUUGGUUCUG